GGAUUUGGAAAAUUCCGCUAAAGAGGGUGAAAGCCCCGUAGACGAAAUGCUAACAACACCUAGGAGGAUCCUGAGUACGGCGGAACACGAGAAAUUCCGUCGGAAUCCGCGGGGACCAUCCCGCAAGGCUAAAUACUCCCUAGUGACCGAUAGUGAACCAGUACCGUGAGGGAAAGGUGAAAAGCACCCCGGAAGGGGAGUGAAAUAGAUCCUGAAACCGUGUGCCUACAACAAGUCAAAGCUCGUUAAUGAGUGAUGGCGUGCCUUUUGUAGAAUGAACCGGCGAGUUACGAUUGCAUGCGAGGUUAAGUCGAAGAGACGGAGCCGCAGCGAAAGCGAGUCUGAAUAGGGCGAAUGAGUAUGUAGUCGUAGACCCGAAACCAUGUGAUCUACCCAUGUCCAGGUUGAAGGUGCGGUAAAACGCACUGGAGGACCGAACCCACGUACGUUGAAAAGUGCGGGGAUGAGGUGUGGGUAGCGGAGAAAUUCCAAACGAACUUGGAGAUAGCUGGUUCUCUCCGAAAUAGCUUUAGGGCUAGCCUCGGAAUUGAGAAUGAUGGAGGUAGAGCACUGUUUGGACUAGGGGCCCAUCUCGGGUUACCGAAUUCAGAUAAACUCCGAAUGCCAUUCAUUUAUAUCCGGGAGUCAGACUGCGAGUGAUAAGAUCCGUAGUCGAAAGGGAAACAGCCCAGACCACCAGCUAAG
rnacentral:rRNA from 1 species